AGAGCGCGGCGAACGGCUCCGUAACACGUAGUUAACCUACCCUCGGGAUGGGGAUAACCCCGGGAAACUGGGAUUAAUACCCACUAGAUGAUUAUACCUGGAAUGGCUUAUCAUCGAAAGAGUCUGGGAACAUGCUUCCAGCGUCGCCCGAGGAUGGGACCGCGUCCGAUCAGGUUGUUGGUGGGGUAACGGCCUACCAAGCCUAUAACCGGUACGGGCCCUGAGAGGGGGAGCCCGGAGAUGGAAACUGAGAAAAGGUUCCAGGCCCUACGGGGUGCAGCAGGCGCGAAACCUCCACAAUGCGCGAAAGCGUGAUGGGGUUAUCCCGAGUGCCGUCCGAUGAGGAUGGCUUUUCAUCGGUGUAAGGAUCCGAUGGAAUAAAGGGGGGGCAAGACUGGUGUCAGCCGCCGCGGUAAUACCAGCCCCCUGAGUGGUAAGGACGAUUAUUUGGCCUAAAGCGUUCGUAGCCGGCUUAUCAAGUCUUUUGUUAAAUCCAACGAUUCAAUCGUUGGGCCGCAAGAGAUACUGUUAUGCUAGAGGACGGGAGAGGUCGACGGUAGUCCAGGGGUAGGGGUGAAAUCCUAUAAUCCUUGGAGGACCACCAGUGGCGAAGGCGGUCGACUAGAACGUGCCUGACGGUGAGGGACGAAAGCUGGGGGAGCGAACCGGAUUAGAUACCCGGGUAGUCCCAGCCGUAAACGAUGCGGGCUAGGUGUUGGGGCAGCCACGAGCUGCUCCAGUGCCGCAGAGAAGUUGUUAAGCCCGCCGCCUGGGGAGUACGGCCGCAAGGCUGAAACUUAA
rnacentral:rRNA from 1 species